GGGGCCGGAGUGUUGGCAGUCGUGGGGGAGAGCUGGGUGGGCCGCCGCUGGCCUGCUUUCUUUGGCCACAGGGAACCCGAGACCACGGGCUGUGCACACACGGGACAUGGCCUGCGGAUGCCAACCCGGAAGCGCUCUCGGAGCCUGUUGCGUCCUUUCCUUCCCCCAGCAGCCCACCCCUGGGCUGCGGAAAUCUCUGAACUGGUCACCCACAUCCAGUCUUUCCUUUCUCCCCGGUCCCCAGGGGAAGGUCCUGAAACCCACGCAGGCCUGGCCAUCACGCUGGCGCUGGAAAACUUCCCUUGACCCCUAGUGUCUGCCAGACAAAUUGUAAUAUUCCUGGGUGUCCCAGGUGUCCCAGGCCCAUGAGCGACCCUCUGUGUUUUCACUUGUUGCUCUUCCUGCCGGGAUGCCCUGCCCUCUCCGUCUUUGUGUCUGAGAGGGUGAAUCAGCUGUCUUGGCAAUGAUUAGGGCAGCGACGCCAGAGUAGAUGACCUCUUUGCGUGUGAGCAACGUGGCAGCAUAUGCCGUUUGGUAAGGGGUUUGCUAGGUGAGUACGUGUGAGUAUGUGUGAUGUAUACACCUUUCCACAUCCAGCCUGGCUCCUGGCAGUGUCCUGUGGCAGAACAAGCUUCCUUCUGAGCCCCGAUUAGGCUGCAGCCCCUGAAAGGGGCCCCCAUUCCUCCUUGAAUGUCUAACCUGCAAGCUGGGCCCGUGCCUGAGCCCUGGCUUACUGCAGGACAUCUAGUCGCACCAGUGGCACCACCCAGCGUGAGCCUUUGAGAAACACGUUCCUAAGCACAGCUUCGUGGACCUGCUGGGCUGGCAGGUGCGGGAAUUUGAGCGAUUGCAAUUUGCACAGGUCGACCCUCAGGCAAGCACGCCACCAAUUAUUUCUUGGUGAGCAGCUGCAUCAGUCUUUUGUAGCAUAAUGACAGGGAGUUCGGGAAGCGAGCUUCUGUGAUGGCUUUGGCUGGGGAGCUUUUUCAGCUGCCUCUGUCUUUGCCAGCCACUGUCACUCAUUGGGUACAGAAGAGACCUCAGCCAGCUUCCUGGGGCCUGUUUGCGGCCAAGCUGCAGCUCUUCCGGCGGGGCUGCUCCAUGCCAGGCACCUGGCCUCAUCUCAUCCUCACCACAGCACUGAGAGGUAGAUGCUUUCACCCCGGGAAAGACGGGGACCUUAAAAAUGAGCAAGGGGACCUCCCAGGGGCUCGUGGCAGAGCUGGAAUUUCAAACCUGUGUGUGUCUGAUUCCCAGACUCUUCCCCUUCUGCUGCUGUGUGUGUCCCUGAGGAGUCAGAGAUGAAUGCCGUUUACACCCAGUUCUUGUCUCUCCAAGUUCAUCCCCAGCCACUGUUCCGCAGACCCCCUGUGUUCUAUGUACAUCGAGCUUACGUCCAAGGAGAUGCUGUGUCCCUUAUGUCAUGUGGGCAGCCACCACGUUCUGGAGUCUUAUUCUGUGCCCGAACAUGGCAGCCUGCCACAAUGGCCAUGGACUCUUCCCCUCCCCAUACUCACACCUCCUUGCCAUACUACUUGGGGAGCCCUCUCGUUCUUACCCUAGACUUGGCCGUGAACUUGCUUUGGCGAAUGUAACAUCUGCAAAUAUGCUGCAGGUAGAAACUUGAGAAGCUUUGCCCACUGGGCUGAUCCUCUCUUGCUCUUCCUGGAGCUCUGCCUCUUUGUGAGGAAGCCCGGGCCAGCCUUCUGGAUGCUGAAAGACCCCUGGCCCAUUUGCAUCUGCUGCCUUGUUAACAUUCUGUCAACUGCCAGACGUGUGAGUGAGUCAUUCUGGAUCAUCUGGCCCCCAGCCCACCACCGGCUGGGCACAGACACACAAGAAAGAGCCCAGAGCACCGGAACCAUCCAACUGACCCACAGAAUCCUCUGCUAAAUAAACGCGUGUUGAUUUAAAAUGC
rnacentral:lncRNA from 1 species